UACGGAGGAUGCAAGCGUUAUCCGGAAUGAUUGGGCGUAAAGAGUCCGUAGGUGGUUAUUCAAGUCUGUGGUUAAAGAGUGGAGCUUAACUCCAUAAAGGCCAUGGAAACUGAGUAACUAGAGUAAGGUAGGGGUAGAGGGAAUUCUCGGUGUAGCGGUGAAAUGCGUAGAUAUCGGGAAGAACACCGGUGGCGAAAGCGCUCUACUGGACCUAAACUGACACUGAGGGACGAAAGCUAGGGGAGCGAAAGGG
rnacentral:rRNA from 1 species